GGUCCGGAACCAUGGCAGCCAUCUUGGGCCCAUAAGGGGAGAUACCUGAGGAAAACAUGCUGAGGAUGGCAACGCUGACGAUGAAGCAAACUGGAGUCCUUCACAAAGUCACUGAGCUCGUGACUUAGCCUGGAGCUUCCCUACGUCAGAACUUCUAGUGAGGAGUGUCUGGUGACCUGAGGACCCCUCCCAGCCCCACGGAAUGGAGUGAGCAUGGAGGGUCUGUGCUUUGUCAGUAACAACCGUCUGGUCUCCGGGAAACUUCCCCGAUCCUCAGAACAAAGCUCAAGAAUGUCCACAAGCAGCCACGUCCAUCCGAUGUCUGCCGGAGACCCGCUGUCAAUGCACGAAGUGCAAAGCUUCAAAAUACAUGAAGAAACCCAGUGGAAUCAGAAGGGAAGUCAGCACAUCCUCUGAGGUGCCCAAAGCUGUGCAUUGGAGAUCACGGGCAGCAGAAGACAGAGCCAGGGAAGUGGCAGCGUCCGAACGGAGACCCUGGCCAGGAGAGAAAGGGCUGGAAGCAAGAGCUCACAUGGAGAGCAACCGUCAGACUCCAUCUAGGGGAGGCCCCGUGGAGAGAGGAUCGCCGUGGGCCGGGACCCCAGGUAAGUCCGGCGUCAGCCCCGGGAAGAUGCGUGAGGACAGAGGUGGGAGAGGCCAGAGGGCAGGUCUUCUCACACGGGACCAGCAGGAGCCCUCCUUGCAGCUGGUGCGUGGCGCCUGUGAUCGCAUGUGGUCCUGCUGUCCACACACACAGCUGGCCAUUUCUGUGUCCUCACCUGUCCGGGUCAGCAGAGCAUGGCAGCCCCCCACCUGGGAGGAACGUCCAUGAGCGCCCCACUGACUCGCACAUCCCGCAGAGCACAAGAAAGCACCUGCCCAGCUCGCCCUUUGAUGCCAGAGGCGUUUACGGCCUCUGACAGCAAUAACCGAGGACGGUGUUUUCAUUCCAUGACAUCAAUUUCAAAAGGUUAGGAAUGUGCCUGGAACGUCCCCCAGAGAGCUCACGACGGGUCUAUCGUCCGUGAACUCACAGGGCUAGACCCACAAGGAUCUGGCCCCAGCCCCAGCCCCGGCCCCUCCUUCUGAGUGUUUGUGAGCCCGCGACACGGCCUCUCCAAGUCCAGUCCCGGGCCUGGCUUUGCCACUCCUUGCCCACAGGACCUCAGACAGGUGCGUCUCUCCAAGUUCAUAGUGUCCACGUGCAGAGUGCCACGCCAGGUGCCACGCCGGGAACAUGACCUCUGCCACCAGCAGUCUCAGGGGCAAAGCUUGGUUCUUCUGCUUGCUCACUGAGUGGGAAGCAUGGUGGGCUUUCCUCUCAGACUACAUCUUUGCUUUCACCUCUGCAAAAUGGGGAUAAUAAAGCACGCAUCAUGUAGGAUUUGGGGAAACGGAAGGAGAUAAGCAGGGAAUGUUAGCCCAGUGCCUGGUGCCGGGACCCCACCUUCACCAUUCCAUGUGUUCGUCCUAGAACCUGCUCCCAGGCAGGUGUGCUCAAGCCUGGAGGCGUGACCCAGUCCCCCCCACCCAACAAUACCGUCACUGUGCAUUCCCGAGCCACCCACACGCAGGAAGGUCUAGAAGUCAGCUUCUCAAGAAAGAGCAGCUGAAAUGCGUAAACCCCGCAAAACAACCACCAAAGGCCAAGAGCUGUUGGAGGAAUGGCACAUAGCCCAGCCUUAUUUCUGAGCUUCCUGACAGCCCCAGCAAGAAGGGAAGGGGACACGCUCUCAGCUGAUCAAAGAGGCACCGUAACCUAGCCGGGGCCUCAUUCCUCCCUCGGACGUGACUCCAGGAAAAAAUCUAUGAGGUGUUCAUAGAAGCGACAUUGGAAAGCGUAAAGGUGACGCCUUGGAGAGUACAUCGGCCAGAGAGGACAGGGGGACCGGCAGGCUGGGGGAGGGGGUCAGUGGCGCACAUUCAGCAUGGCUAUGUAGCUGAGCCAAGGACCGGGACGUUUCUGAGUGUGAAAGAGGAGUCACUAACAAUGAGAGCGAAACAGGCAUGAACAGGGACUGCCCCGUGCAGGUGAGAGCCGUGGCCACCAGCGGCCGCUUCUUCCAUCCCCCUGUGUUCAGUGAGGGGGGCAGAGCUUUUUAAGAGGUAGGGCAGUAAAGUGUUCGUGUGUGUGGCUUUUUAGUGAUUUAACCUAAUGGCAACAUCUAAUCCUUGUAAGAGAUAAACACAGCAGGGUUGGCAGGCACUCUUGGGCUGGGGAAUGGCGCCAGGCCCGCCAUGAUCCACCACGUCUGCAAUGAUGGCCACAAAGAGAUUUUGUGUGAGGCUUCCCACACAUGAGGCUCAGGGUUACGCAAGCCACUGACCUUCCAGAUACCCUUCUCAUUCAGCGAGCAUUUGGAUGCCCAUUCCAAGAAUGCUGGGCAUGAUUCUCUUUGCUCGGCACAGCCGAUGUGCUCUUGCUAACCCCAGUAUUUUUCCUACUUUAACUCCUGUCCGUGUCUGGGGGUGGGGGGAGAAGGACACGAAGUUCCGCUUUCUUCUGGAAAAAUAAGAUCAGAAAUAACACUUGCUCUUUUAAGAAUGGUCGGCAUCUUCUGAGCUUGAGCCAGCAGGGCUAAAGGACCCAGGGAAGCACUUCAGAGAAAAUUCAUUCUGAUUUCCUUUCCACCAUCCCAUGGGCUCAUCAUAUCAUGAUGUGACUUUCUCUGCUCUGGAGGCAGGAUGGUCCCCUAACAUGAGAGAGGAAACCAAAGUGAAGAUGGGGCACCACCAUGGGCUCGCAGGGGGCCUCGGGCAUCGCUGUAUCCACCCUGCCCCUUGGAAAUGGGGAAACUGAGCCAAGUGACAGAGCCAGAAAGCGAGACCGCAGUUCUUAGUGCCCCGUCUGAGGUUAUGAAUGGAUGCCGGGGGGACUCCGAGCCCCCGUGUCCACCAGCCCUUGCUCCCCAACCCCGUCGGCCAGUGUCACCCCCACCAUCCGGCCAGGGUUCCCAUCCUGCUCAGAUCAGACCCCCGAGAGCAUCG